AGGGCACCACCAGGAGUGGAGCCUGCGGCUUAAUUUGACUCAACACGGGAAACCUCACCAGGCCCAGACACCGGGAGGAUUGACAGAUUGAGAGCUCUUUCUUGAUUCGGUGGGUGGUGGUGCAUGGCCGUUCUUAGUUGGUGGAGCGAUUUGUCUGGUUAAUUCCGAUAACGAACGAGACUCUAGCCUGCUAAAUAGUCGCAUCCGGUAUCCUCUGUGCUACCGGCGACCAACAAUCUUCUUAGAGGGACAGGCGGCUUCUAGCCGCACGAGAUUGAGCAAUAACAGGUCUGUGGUGCCCUUAGAUGUUCUGGGCCGCACGCGCGCUACACUGAAGGAAUCAGCGUGUCCUCCCUGGCCGAAAGGUCCGGGUAACCCGCUGAACCUCCUUCGUGCUAGGGAUUGGGGCUUGCAAUUGUUCCCCAUGAACGARGRAWUYCCAGUAAGCGCGAGUCAUAAGCUCGCGUUGAUUACGUYCCYGCCCUUUGUACACACCGCCCGUCGCUACUACCGAUUGAA
rnacentral:rRNA from 1 species